rnacentral:rRNA from 1 species
UUAGUAACGGCGAGUGAAGCGGCAAAAGCUCAAAUUUGAAAUCUGGCACCUUCGGUGUCCGAGUUGUAAUUUGAAGAAGGUAACUUUGGAGUUGGCUCUUGUCUAUGUUCCUUGGAACAGGACGUCACAGAGGGUGAGAAUCCCGUGCGAUGAGAUGCCCAAUUCUAUGUAAAGUGCUUUCGAAGAGUCGAGUUGUUUGGGAAUGCAGCUCUAAGUGGGUGGUAAAUUCCAUCUAAAGCUAAAUAUUGGCGAGAGACCGAUAGCGAACAAGUACAGUGAUGGAAAGAUGAAAAGAACUUUGAAAAGAGAGUGAAAAAGUACGUGAAAUUGUUGAAAGGGAAGGGCUUGAGAUCAGACUUGGUAUUUUGCGAUCCUUUCCUUCUUGGUUGGGUUCCUCGCAGCUUACUGGGCCAGCAUCGGUUUGGAUGGUAGGAUAAUGACUAAGGAAUGUGGCUCUACUUCGGUGGAGUGUUAUAGCCUUGGUUGAUACUGCCUGUCUAGACCGAGGACUGCGUCUUUUGACUAGGAUGUUGGCAUAAUGAUCUUAAGCCA